GACGAACGCUGGCGGCGUGCUUAACACAUGCAAGUCGAACGGUAAGGCCCUUCGGGGUACACGAGUGGCGAACGGGUGAGUAACACGUGGGUGAUCUGCCCUGCACUUCGGGAUAAGCCUGGGAAACUGGGUCUAAUACCGGAUAGGACCACUGCCUGCAUGGGUGGUGGUGGAAAGCUUUUGCGGUGUGGGAUGGGCCCGCGGCCUAUGAGCUUGUUGGUGGGGUGAUGGCCUACCAAGGCGACGACGGGUAGCCGGCCGGAGAGGGUGACCGGCCACACUGGGACUGAGAUACGGCCCAGACUCCUACGGGAGGCAGCAGUGGGGAAUAUUGCACAAUGGGCGCAAGCCUGAUGCAGCGACGCCGCGUGAGGGAUGACGGCCUUCGGGUUGUAAACCUCUUUCAGCACCGACGAAGCGCAAGUGACGGUAGGUGCAGAAGAAGGACCGGCCAACUACGUGCCAGCCGCCGCCGUAAGAC
rnacentral:rRNA from 1 species